rnacentral:tRNA from 1 species
UAGACUAAAGCUUGUUGUAUUGAGUGUUUAGCUGUUAACUAAAAGGUCGCAGGGUAAGAGCCUGCUAGUCUAG